CGCUGGCGGCGUGCUUAACACAUGCAAGUCGAACGCGAAAGGGACUUCGGUCCUGAGUAAAGUGGCGCACGGGUGAGUAACGCGUAGAUAACCUGUCUUCAUGUCUGGAAUAAUACGCCGAAAGGGGUACUAAUACCGGAUAUUCUUGCUUUUCAUAAGUUAUGCAAGCAAAGGUGGCCUCUGCAUAUGCUACUGCAUGAAGAGGGGUCUGCGUACCAUUAGCUAGUAGGUGGGGUAAUGGCCUACCUAGGCGACGAUGGUUAGCGGGUCUGAGAGGAUGAUCCGCCACACUGGCACUGGAACACGGGCCAGACUCCUACGGGAGGCAGCAGUGAGGAAUAUUGCGCAAUGGGGGAAGCCCUGACGCAGCGACGCCGCGUGAGUGAAGGAAGGCCUUCGGGUCGUAAAGCUCUGUCAAGAGGAAAGAAGUGUACAAUGGCUAAUACCUGUUGUAUUUGACGGUACCUCUAAAGGAAGCACCGGCUAACUCCGUGCCAGCAGCCGC
rnacentral:rRNA from 1 species